GACUGAAAAUCUUUGUGUCGGUGGUUCAAAUCCACCUCCAGACA
rnacentral:tRNA from 7 species